rnacentral:rRNA from 1 species
AUGCUGAGAGCGCGCGAGGAGAUAGAUGCGUGCAUAGGAGAACCAUCACGGCUGCUCGAGGCGACCGAUCUCCCAAACCUGGCUUACCUCCGAUGCAUCAUCAUGGAGACCCUCCGGCUGUACCCGCCGGCGCCGCUACUCGUCCCCUACGAGUCACGUCGGCGGGUUCUACAUUCCCCAGGGGACGAUGCUCCUCGUUACAUGUUUGAUAUCCACAUGGAUCCUCAACAAUGGCAUGAACCAGCAAGCUUCGUUCCUGAGAGGUUUGAGGAUGGGAGAAAUGGAGAUAAGAUGGUGAUCCUGUUUGGCAUGGGUAGACGACGAUGA